AUACAAGGUGCUGCAUGGCUGUCGUCAGCUCGUGCCGUGAGGUGUUGGGUUAAGUCCUAUAACGAGCGAAACCCUUUUACUUAAUUGCCAGCACGUAAUGGUGGGGACUUUAAGUAGACUGCCCGUGUAAGCGGGAGGAAGGAGAGGACGAGGUCAAGUCAUCAUGGCCUUUAUGCCCAGGGCUACACACGUACUACAAUGGCAUGUACAAAGGGAAGCUACUUGGUAACAGGAUGCAAAUCUCAAAAGCAUGUCUCAGUUCGGAUUGAGGUCUGCAAUUCGACCUCAUGAAGUUGGAAUCGCUAGUAAUCGCGUAUCAGCAAUGACGCGGUGAAUACGUUCUCGGACCUUGUACACACCGCCCAUCAAGCCAUGGGAGUUGGUAGAGCUUGAGAACAGUGGC
rnacentral:rRNA from 1 species